ensembl:lncRNA
AGUUGUUGCUGUUUCUUUCUUUGUUCCUUUUUUUUUUUUUUUUGAAAAAUAACGACGUCUCUGAGGCGCGAAUUCCGACAGUGAGAGGAACGGCCGGAUACAGGAGACGGGAAGAAACAAGCCGAUUAUGUUCGCGUUAAUUAGGUAGUUGGAAGAUGUAAAAUUCUCAAUUCUGCCAACUGAACAUAUACGAGAUUUUAAUGAGGAUGAAUAAUUAGCCGGCAUGGAGGAAACGGACCUUUAUUUGGUGGAGUGUCGACAAGAAGCCAAAAGACGGGUGGCCGGUCUAUGAAGCCUCCAUCAUCAAGCUAGCAGAAAUCCCACCUCUCCUUCUGGCUACAGAGUACUUACCAAGCCCAUGAAAUCGAAUGCAGAUCUUCCUGAUGUGAGAUUUACAUAAAUAUGUCAAAGUCUCAACCUCAUGCUGCCCUCCCCCAUCCUCCUAAACCUGUGGAUACAAAUGCAGAUUUCCUUAAUGUUCAAUGGUGCGUGUUCUUCUAAUGGCCGCCUUCCCACUGGAAGUUUUGAUCCACAGCAAUUUAAAAGGAGGACAGAGCAAAACGGACAUCGGCAAGAGAGUGAAGAACUGCCCUUCAUAAGGACACUAUGACAGCCAUAUAUAUGGCGGUAAGGAAGAGGUUUCCCAAUGUGUCCAGAAGGGCUUUGAGGAUUGCAGUGAAAGCUGGGGGAACUGAGACUGCUGGAAAAGGAAAAGAAAUUACAUUUAAAGUAUGUUGACUUAUGUUCACACAAUCACACACACAUAUACACAUACACACACACAUAUGUGUACAUAUAUAUAUACACACAUAUAUAUGUAUUUGUGUGUGUGUCUGUGUUUCUUUUAGAAUGUUUAAGUAUGUAAUGAGAAUAAAAUUAUA